ACAUAAAGACCCUCUAGCUUUGUUAAAACCACAGAAUUAAUCUUUGAAUCAAACAGAGUUGCAAUUGCAUUGAUCCUCUGACAGUCAGAUGACACGUGGGUACCCACACCUGAAUAGCCACUUCUCUAACUUGGGUCUGUGGGAUUCAGGGCAGACAACAGAUGUGCUGAUGGAUUUUAGUUUCAGUCCAGUUCCCCUGGAACUUCACUGCAAUAUGUUCUGAUUUUUGUGAUUGUUUUGAUUAAUGUCAAUCAGAAAUGAAAAUCUGAAGGGAGAUUUUUCUCUAACACUUUAUACGUUUUGAAAUAUUCUCACCAUGGUCCCUGAACAGUGUUCUUCCCUCCCUUGUUCCAUCCACAAAGACCUGAAAUUAAGCACUUUUAAAGUGUCCUGACUAUCAAUUCACUGUGCCACUCUUUCCCUCAUUAACCUAGGCAGAUUAAAAGAAAUCUGAUUAAAGAAACUUUUUUUACUCACGAUUAUUCUUGGCGGUCUUUGCUGUUUUCUGCAGUACUUCAUAAAUCUCCUUCUUUCUUAUUUCAAAAGUGUUGCCAAGAAGAACCAGAAAGCCCCCUGCUUUCCUGAGCCAAAUCAGGAGUGUGGUGUUGGUGUGGGCUCAGCUGCUCUGACUGAAGACUCCCAUCCUGCACCUACAGCGUCUCCUGGGACUGAGUCCGUGCAGGACUCCGAAAAUGGCACCAGCUCAGUCAAACCCAAAGACCAUUUUAUUAUCAAA